CGGAGCGUAGCGCAGCCUGGUAGCGCAUCAGUCUGGGGGACUGGGGGUCGUGGGUUCGAAUCCCGCCGCUCCGACCA
rnacentral:tRNA from 49 species